UCCCUGACCGGAAAAAUUUGUGCAAAAGGUCCUCGUGAAUGAAAAACGUAUGCAGCCAGUCCUCGCCGGAGCCCGAAGCUCCGGCGAGUGAUAAAUGACACGCUGACUGGAUUAAUGAAGCUUACGUGGAUUUAAAAUAAAAAAAAUACAAAUUAGAAAAUUAAAUUAAAAUAAAAACCCAAACUAAUUAAAUUAAAUUAUACAUCAUUAUUUUUUUUCUAUUUCCAGAGAAUAAAAAAAUCUUCAUCUCCUUCAUCAUCUUUAUCAUCUCAACAACAUCUUCUUCUCCAUCCCAUCAUCUUCAUCUCAUUUUUUCAAUACCCAAAUUAAAAAACCAAGAUCUAGAACCUCAAAUGAGCAUAACGAGCCAAGUAACAGUGGUAGAAGUAGUCACAUGCAAGUUCCCCACAAUUAAAAGUAAACAUUUUAAAACUUGUAUCCAAGCAAAAUUUCAGUCCUAGCAACUCUCGGGAGCACCAAAACUUCAAUUUCAAAGGAAUAAAAAUUUCAGCAGGUUGCAAUUAUCCACCCAAGACACCACCUUUAGACACAAUCUAACAAGACGCAAAACUCUGACCAUAAAGGGGGUUCGAUUCACUGAGCACAACAGUCACAUGUAUGAACAGAAAUCUACUGGAAAACCACACCAGUGCUAGUUCUCAGAUCUGGGCACCUCUGAAUCUCAUCAACCCCAACCCAACAAACAACCUCAACCCUGCCUCUUUAUCUUCCGAACCAAAAAACCAACCGAGGAACCCAAGCAAAAGAAAGAAAAUCCAAAGAAAGAAAGAGAGAUUCAAGGGAAAGAUAACCAUAACCCAGAUUGUACACAAGAACCCAGGUCGCAGGAGAACCGAAGUCACGAAAAGAACCCAUAUCCUUUGCAAACGCUGGUGCCUUUCUUGCGAUCUUUGCGUCGUCUCCCUCUCUCACCUUCCCCCUCUUGAAUCUCGCCAUCUUUUCUCUUGCAUCGGGGGUUCUAAUGGUGUUGGAGGGUUGUUCAAUCCAGAUCCAAGUUUCACACGCAUCUUAGAAUGAGAGGUGCGAAAAUCUAAGGAGGAGGUUUCGGUUGCAGGUGGUGGUGGGGUUGGGGUUGGGGUUUUAGUUGGAGAAGAAGAAGAAGAUGAAGGAGGAGGAGAUGAUGUGAUGAAUUUCUGGGUUAGUUUUGGGGGAAUUUGAUUUUUUAUAAUUAAUUUGGGGCCUCAUCAACACAGUCAGCAUUCCACUCCAUCACUCGCCGGAGCCCUGGGCUCCGGCGAGACCUGCUCCAAACGUUUUGCAAUGAUAAGGACCUUUUGCACAAAUUUUUCCGAUGAGGGACCUAGUUCAGACGGCGACACAAAGACAGGGACCAAUUUGAGGAUUAAGCCUUUUAAUUUUCAUAGUGAUUUUAGUGAUUUGAUAAAUUGUGGUGUCUACAUUUUCACUACCGAUAUUUUUACUACAAUCGGAGAUGUAUCAAAGGAACCAAGAAGGGAGAGCUAAUCUACGACGUCUUUAUAGCUUUGAAGCUCUCCGGUCUGUCACAAGGACUCAACCAUAUUGAUAUUGAAGAGGUUUCAUGCA